GAAUUUUAAAAAAUCAGGCUAUUCAGUCAUUGUUUCCUUUACGUUUGAGUUAGUUAAGCAUUCUUUCUUUGAAGGACCAGCAACAUGUAUGUGGCUAGAAUUUUAACCUUCGUUUUUCUUGUGGUUGUUAUGCUGAUAACAGUAAAGUCAGUUCCGCUUCAGGUUCAACUGUGUGGGGACAGUGUGUGUGCAGUGGGGGAGCAGUGUCAGGUGUUCUAUCCACCCUGUGCUCCCCCACCCCCCAACUGUGAAACCUGCCAUUCCAACUGUCACCCGAUCUCAAUGUGUGUUGUGCCGGUCUAA